UCCCCCAAAGGCCUCAAGAACUUUCUACUCAUUCCUCCUGCCCUGUCACUAGAGGCUGGACUGGAAGGUGCUCACGGAACCCUCCCUGGUGGGCAUGAGGAAGAAGGGUCCCAAAAACAUUCCACCCAGACAGGCUCCUUCCAAGUUGCCCAGCCUAGCCCAGCAUCGCAGCAGGAGAACCUGAGUAUGGAAGGUGCCCACUUCCCGGAGCGGUGGAGGGACCUUCCCAAAGCUCUCCUGCUCACAAUUCAAACGUGAGCAUCUAGUUUUGCUCCCUGGUGAGCUACGCUGUCCUCCUCCGUGAAGGGUUUCUGAGUGGCUGUGGUCGGAAGUCUCCAGAUAAGCACCCUCUCCGCACUAAGGACACGGGAGGUAAAUACAGGGGCUAGUGGCGCCCUGGAAACCUCACGGCUGCAAUCUCCAAGGCCCAGCACUGCCCACCCUGCACACAGAUGCUCCCGCCUGGAGCCCACGUGCCUUGCUCAGUCCAAGGAAGGCCUGGCAGGGUCCUCUGGCCAGCUUGCCUCUCAGAGCCUCAGUUUCUCCAUACUGUGGAGCUAGCAACCCCUUCCUGGCAGGGCGGUGCUCAGGACCAGUGAGAACACAUGUGGAAAGCGC
rnacentral:lncRNA from 10 species